UGAAACACUGCAGCAAUUUCUUACACAUGCUAAACUCUGUCAACCUGCUCAAUUUAAAAGCCUUUACAUCAGUGGGCAACAAUGAACUAACAUGAAGAUUAGAGACCUGGAGUGCUACCUUGUAGUACGAUGGAAAGGAAUGGAGAAAAGCAACUAUAGGUAGCUACAAGGAGGAAUGGAAGCGUGGAGAACUGCAUUACCCUGUCUCCUCUGGAUUUCUUCCCACUGAAAACAGAGGCAAUGAAAAAGGAACUGGGUUGAGGCAACGGUUUGGAGCAGAGAAACAAGGAAGUGUUAGCAGCCUUGUCACUAAAACCACAUUUAAAAAUGUUAAAACUCUGGAAAGAAAUACCAUUCAACUACCUUAAAACUUCAAUAAUUGGCCCUGCCUAUUUUGAUGUGUAUUAAAUUGAAAUACGUUGUCA